GUCCCUGUAGCGCAGUGGAUAGCGCGUUGGACUUCUAAUCCGUCCGAGGUUCGAAUCCGGCAGGGAUG